UUUUAAAGAAACUGCAAUGUUUACAUUGCAGUACAAAGACAGCUAGUAGAGGCAGUCUAAGUCCUGCAAUGUAAACAUUGCAGUUUCUCUAAAA